CAAUCUCUAGAUCAUCAACGAUGGACAAGAGUCACAGAAGUAGUAGAGGUAGUGCCAGUCCGAAUCGCCUUAGCCCGUCUCCUAGGUCUAGCUAUACUGCCGAUCAAUCAAGAGGAAGACCAUCUUCAGCACCUCAUUCAAGUCCACCGCCUAACUUGCGGCAUUCUACUCCGACAAGGAAACCGUCUCCCUCACCUAAGAAAUUCUCAACACCUCCUCCAAGGUCCUCUACACCAACUCCUCGGAG
rnacentral:misc_RNA from 1 species